rnacentral:rRNA from 1 species
UGCCCUAUACAUGCAAGUCGAACGAGUUCUCGUUGAUGAUCGGUGCUUGCACCGAGAUUCAACAUGGAACGAGUGGCGGACGGGUGAGUAACACGUGGGUAACCUGCCCUUAAGUGGGGGAUAACAUUUGGAAACAGAUGCUAAUACCGCAUAGAUCCAAGAACCGCAUGGUUCUUGGCUGAAAGAUGGCGUAAGCUAUCGCUUUUGGAUGGACCCGCGGCGUAUUAGCUAGUUGGUGAGGUAAUGGCUCACCAAGGCGAUGAUACGUAGCCGAACUGAGAGGUUGAUCGGCCACAUUGGGACUGAGACACGGCCCAAACUCCUACGGGAGGCAGCAGUAGGGAAUCUUCCACAAUGGACGCAAGUCUGAUGGAGCAACGCCGCGUGAGUGAAGAAGGCUUUCGGGUCGUAAAACUCUGUUGUUGGAGAAGAAUGGUCGGCAGAGUAACUGUUGUCGGCGUGACGGUAUCCAACCAGAAAGCCACGGCUAACUACGUGCCAGCAGCCGCGGUAAUACGUAGGUGGCAAGCGUUAUCCGGAUUUAUUGGGCGUAAAGCGAGCGCAGGCGGUUUUUUAAGUCUGAUGUGAAAGCCCUCGGCUUAACCGAGGAAGCGCAUCGGAAACUGGGAAACUUGAGUGCAGAAGAGGACAGUGGAACUCCAUGUGUAGCGGUGAAAUGCGUAGAUAUAUGGAAGAACACCAGUGGCGAAGGCGGCUGUCUGGUCUGUAACUGACGCUGAGGCUCGAAAGCAUGGGUAGCGAACAGGAUUUAGAUACCCUGGUAGUCCAUGCCGUAAACGAUGAAUGCUAGGUGUUGGAGGGUUUCCGCCCUUCAGUGCCGCAGCUAACGCAUUAAGCAUUCCGCCUGGGGAGUACGACCGCAAGGUUGAAACUCAAAGGAAUUGACGGGGGCCCGCACAAGCGGUGGAGCAUGUGGUUUAAUUCGAAGCAACGCGAAGAACCUUACCAGGUCUUGACAUCUUUUGAUCACCUGAGAGAUCAGGUUUCCCCUUCGGGGGCAAAAUGACAGGUGGUGCAUGGUUGUCGUCAGCUCGUGUCGUGAGAUGUUGGGUUAAGUCCCGCAACGAGCGCAACCCUUAUGACUAGUUGCCAGCAUUUAGUUGGGCACUCUAGUAAGACUGCCGGUGACAAACCGGAGGAAGGUGGGGAUGACGUCAAAUCAUCAUGCCCCUUAUGACCUGGGCUACACACGUGCUACAAUGGAUGGUACAACGAGUUGCGAGACCGCGAGGUCAAGCUAAUCUCUUAAAGCCAUUCUCAGUUCGGACUGUAGGCUGCAACUCGCCUACACGAAGUCGGAAUCGCUAGUAAUCGCGGAUCAGCACGCCGCGGUGAAUACGUUCCCGGGCCUUGUACACACCGCCCGUCACACCAUGAGAGUUUGUAACACCCGAAGCCGGUGGCGUAACCCUUUUAGGGAGCGAGCCGUCUAAAGGGUGG